rnacentral:rRNA from 1 species
CCUACGGGUGGCAGCAGUGAGGAAUAUUGGUCAAUGGGCGUAAGCCUGAACCAGCCAAGUCGCGUGAGGGAUGAAGGUUCUAUGGAUCGUAAACCUCUUUUAUAAGGGAAUAAAGUGCGGGACGUGUCCCGUUUUGUAUGUACCUUAUGAAUAAGGAUCGGCUAACUCCGUGCCAGCAGCCGCGGUAAUACGGAGGAUCCGAGCGUUAUCCGGAUUUAUUGGGUUUAAAGGGUGCGUAGGCGGCCUUUUAAGUCAGCGGUGAAAGUCUGUGGCUCAACCAUAGAAUUGCCGUUGAAACUGGGAGGCUUGAGUAUGUUUGAGGCAGGCGGAAUGCGUGGUGUAGCGGUGAAAUGCUUAGAUAUCACGCAGAACCCCGAUUGCGAAGGCAGCCUGCCGGGGUGCGACUGACGCUGAGGCUCGAAGGUGCGGGUAUCAAACAGGAUUAGAUACCCUGGUAGUC